AAAAAGAAAGAAAGAAAGAA
rnacentral:sRNA from 1 species